GACGAACGCUGGCGGCGUGCUUAACACAUGCAAGUCGAACGGAAAGGCCCUGCUUUUGUGGGGUGCUCGAGUGGCGAACGGGUGAGUAACACGUGAGUAACCUGCCCUUGACUUUGGGAUAACUUCAGGAAACUGGGGCUAAUACCGGAUAGGAGCACCUGCUGCAUGGUGGGGGUUGGAAAGUUUUGGCGGUUGGGGAUGGACUCGCGGCUUAUCAGCUUGUUGGUGGGGUAGUGGCUUACCAAGGCUUUGACGGGUAGCCGGCCUGAGAGGGUGACCGGCCACAUUGGGACUGAGAUACGGCCCAGACUCCUACGGGAGGCAGCAGUGGGGAAUAUUGCACAAUGGGCGGGAGCCUGAUGCAGCAACGCCGCGUGCGGGAUGACGGCCUUCGGGUUGUAAACCGCUUUCGCCUGUGACGAAGCGUGAGUGACGGUAAUGGGUAAAGAAGCACCGGCUAACUACGUGCCAGCAGCCGCGGUGAUACGUAGGGUGCGAGCGUUGUCCGGAUUUAUUGGGCGUAAAGGGCUCGUAGGUGGUUGAUCGCGUCGGAAGUGUAAUCUUGGGGCUUAACCCUGAGCGUGCUUUCGAUACGGGUUGACUUGAGGAAAGGUAGGGGAGAAUGGAAUUCCUGGUGGAGCGAUGGAAUGCGCAGAUAUCAGGAGGAACACCAGUGGCGAAGGCGGUUCUCUGGGCCUUUCCUGACGCUGAGGAGCGAAAGCGUGGGGAGCGAACAGGCUUAGAUACCCUGGUAGUCCACGCUGUAAACGGUGGGUACUAGGUGUGGGGUCCAUUCCACGGGUUCCGUGCCGUAGCUAACGCUUUAAGUACCCCGCCUGGGGAGUACGGCCGCAAGGCUAAAACUCAAAGGAAUUGACGGGGCCCCGCACAAGCGGCGGAGCAUGCGGAUUAAUUCGAUGCAACGCGUAGAACCUUACCUGGGUUUGACAUGGAUCGGGAGUGCUCAGAGAUGGGUGUGCCUCUUUUGGGGUCGGUUCACAGGUGGUGCAUGGCUGUCGUCAGCUCGUGUCGUGAGAUGUUGGGUUAAGUCCCGCAACGAGCGCAACCCUUGUUCACUGUUGCCAGCACGUUAUGGUGGGGACUCAGUGGAGACCGCCGGGGUCAACUCGGAGGAAGGUGGGGAUGACGUCAAGUCAUCAUGCCCCUUAUGUCCAGGGCUUCACGCAUGCUACAAUGGCUGGUACAGAGAGUGGCGAGCCUGUGAGGGUGAGCGAAUCUCGGAAAGCCGGUCUCAGUUCGGAUUGGGGUCUGCAACUCGACCUCAUGAAGUCGGAGUCGCUAGUAAUCGCAGAUCAGCAACGCUGCGGUGAAUACGUUCCCGGG
rnacentral:rRNA from 1 species